rfam:Loxodonta africana unplaced genomic scaffold scaffold_5, whole genome shotgun sequence.
UUGCUGGAGUGGGAGGUUUCUGUAGGCACUUUAUUUCUCCACUUUGAAAAGCUUCAGUUUGGCCCUUCUCUCUGCCCCAUCCUGUUUCUAUUGCCCAUUCAAAUCUAUGGCUAGAACCUCUACGCUGAAACCAAAUCUAU